GGGUAGCCGGCCUGAGAGGGUGUCCGGCCACACUGGGACUGAGAUACGGCCCAGACUCCUACGGGAGGCAGCAGUGGGGAAUAUUGCACAAUGGGCGCAAGCCUGAUGCAGCGACGCCGCGUGGGGGAUGACGGCCUUCGGGUUGUAAACCUCUUUCAGCACAGACGAAGCGUGAGUGACGGUAUGUGCAGAAGAAGCACCGGCCAACUACGUGCCAGCAGCCGCGGUGAUACGUAGGGUGCGAGCGUUGUCCGGAAUUACUGGGCGUAAAGAGCUCGUAGGUGGUUUGUCGCGUUGUUCGUGAAAACUCAAGGCUUAACCUUGGGCGUGCGGGCGAUACGGGCAGACUGGAGUACUGCAGGGGAGACUGGAAUUCCUGGUGUAGCGGUGGAAUGCGCAGAUAUCAGGAGGAACACCGGUGGCGAAGGCGGGUCUCUGGGCAGUAACUGACGCUGAGGAGCGAAAGCGUGGGGAGCGAACAGGAUUAGAUACCCUGGYAGUCCACGCCGUAAACGGUGGGUACUAGGUGUGGGUUUCCUWCCUUGGGAUCCGUGCCGUAGCUAACGCAUUAAGUACCCCGCCUGGGGAGUACGGCCGCAAGGCUAAAACUCAAAGGAAUUGACGGGGGCCCGCACAAGCGGCGGAGCAUGUGGAUUAAUUCGAUGCAACGCGAAGAACCUUACCUGGGUUUGACAUGCACAGGACGCCGGUAGAGAUAUCGGUUCCCUUGUGGCCUGUGUGCAGGUGGUGCAUGGCUGUCGUCAGCUCGUGUCGUGAGAUGUUGGGUUAAGUCCCGCAACGAGCGCAACCCUUGUCUCAUGUUGCCAGCGGGUUAUGCCGGGGACUCGUGAGAGACUGCCGGGGUCAACUCGGAGGAAGGUGGGGAUGACGUCAAGUCAUCAUGCCCCUUAUGUCCAGGGCUUCACACAUGCUACAAUGGCCGGUACAAAGGGCUGCGAUGCCGUGAGGUGGAGCGAAUCCUUUCAAAGCCGGUCUCAGUUCGGAUCGGGGUCUGCAACUCGACCCCGUGAAGUCGGAGUCGCUAGUAAUCGCAGAUCAG
rnacentral:rRNA from 1 species